AGCUUCGUAAAAAAAAAGUGAUUUAUCGCGUUGACAUGAAAACCGAUAUGCCGGACAUUAAGCAAGGAGAGGUAAAAAUUGAAAAUCGCCGCGAACCAUCGAAACAAGGUUCGAGAUCGAGAGUGUGUCAGGAGCAUGAUGAACAGGACUGUCUAAGUGAAAAUGAACACGAGUUCGAAUCGCUGGAAUAUGAGGAGGAUGUAUAUUAUUCGAAUUUAACAGCAACUCCGAGUUUCGAUGACAUUGAUGAGCUCAGUGACGACGUGGACGAAAUCGUUGUCCAUUGUUGGCGGGAUUCGAACGGUGAUAUAGACGAGAUCGUGGUGGACGAUGCAAAUUUGUCGGUGGAGACGCAGUUUUUGACGAAUGAUGCCGAGGACGGCGCCACUAAUCGAGACCAGAAGAAGAAGAAAAAAUCAGUUCGAGUAAUAUUCCAAGAUUUUUCGAAACCAUACUUGGCCAAAAUUAGCAACAGUCAAAAUUACAAGAAGUUCCUCGAAUUGGUAAAAGGAGAAGACGCCAGUCUCCAUUCAGCUGGUUACAUUUCGCCAACAUCAGAUAACGUGGUGAAUGAAUUGCAAGGACUUUCUUUGGAAGAACAGAAUCGUCAAAAGGCGGAAUGGAGUGCAGAAUUAGCCAAAGUGGAGGAAGAGAUUCAAACCCUGAGGCAUGUGCUGGCGAACAAGAUCAGAGUCUCUCAAGAUUUAAAGAGGAAGCUGGGUAUCAGCGUUUGGAAGGAGAUCACUGAUGAUAUGAAUCAAGGGUUGAAAAACGUUAAGGAGAGUCAAGUACAUGUAGAACACUUUUCUUUGACUUUUGGUUGGGUUCUCAUUCAGUUAUCAGAACGUCGGCGAGAAACUCGGUCAGAUCACCAAGGCAGUCACCGACAACAGUUUAUUCCAGAAGACGGAGUCUGUGUUCAAGACAACAGCUGAGAAGACGACCAGCAUUCUUGGCGGCUUCGGCAGUGGAUUAUCCAUGAAGCUUGGCCAGAUGCGUAAUUCAGACAGUUUUCGUUCAUUGGAGGAACGAGUUGGAUCUGCCUACGAGAACAUGAAGACGAAAGUUGUGCCUUCAAGAUCCAACUCGAUGCAGAGUUUCAACGAGAUGCUUCGAGACACCGAUUCGUUACGUUCUGCACCAACAGCAACUAGCCCGACCAUUCCUGAAGAUAAACUUCUGUCUUAGAGUUGGGCCUCUCAAGUCUACAUCGAUUUCUGCCUCUUCUCUGCGUAACAUGCUGAUGCGUCGAUCCACGAUGCCAGUUGUUUCGCCCUAUGCUACUCACUAUCACUUUCCACCUGCGUAUUGCUAUGCGAUGUCAUAUAAUCGAUCAUCUAUUAAAAAAGAACAAAAAAAAAAAAAA